rnacentral:lncRNA from 1 species
CUCUGAUACCACUUGUCACGGGUCGAGACUCAAGCUCCGAACCCGCGCGGCUCCGGGACCCGGGCAUUCACCCUUCCGGCGUCCCAGAUCAGCCUUCCGCCACGGUUCACACCCUUGUGAGGUAUUGUCCGCUCUGGCCCCCUUGACCUCACGGUUUUGUCCUACAAAAGGCGCCUCACAAGGCAGAGAUGGUGUGAACCCUUUUAUACCCCAGGGACCUUCCUAUUAUGUUCGAUGUGGGAUUCAGGACUCCCCCUUAGGUCCGUGACAUUCUCCCGCACCCAACCUCGUGACGCCCUCGUCACGGAGGCCGGCCACCCUGCCUACCUCCCUCGAGGCGCUCGGCGUGGAUCGAACGGUUUAGGGCUGGCUCUGAUACCACUUGUUGCGCCUGAAGCAAUAAUCACAACAAUACAGAAGCAAUAGACAACAAUCAAUAAUCAAAUGCGCAGGAAAAAUAAAGCACACCAAGAUUUACGUGGAAAACCCUCCAGUGUAGAGGGAAAAACCACGGGCCACCAGAAAAAUCUUCACUAUCAAAUAAUAGUUAUACAAAGUUCUUCUCUAGCUAAAACUAGAGCUAAUCAACAACUAGAGAAACAAUUGGAGAAAUCUCACCAAAUAAGUGACUCAACAAAUACACCCUGGAUUUGUUCCUAGAGAGCUUCAAACCCGAUCUUCACCGUUCAGAAUGUAUAACUCUGAAUCAUAAACCUCCUGACAAGGUUCCAACUCAAUCGGACCACGGAUCGACUUCCGUUUAAUCAACUCUCCCUUCUCCUUUUUCUCUCUCUGCUUUUCCUGGCUUUUCUUCUUUCUCUGCUUGGUUGUCGACACACACACUAAACAACCCCACCUCUUUUUUUUUUAUUAAGUAGCUAGGGCUCUGUGUAAAAUAAAAGAUCAAGGCCCAUGGCCUUUACUUGGUCCAAAACCACUUACAUGGGACUGGACCCCAUUUUCCUAACAAUCUCCCCCUCCAGCCCCAUUAGGAGGAGAUUCAUCACCAUAGCAGUUUCAUUUGGAACUUACCUUGGCCAGUGAACUCAUUCCGGCCAAGUUACUACAAAGCUCAAGCUUUUCCCUGGGAAGUAUCUUAGUCAACAUAUCUGCCACAUUUUUAUCAGUAUGGACUUUCUUCAAUAGCAUCUGCUGUUCUUCAAUCACUGAACGUAACCAAUGAUAUCUAACAUCAAUGUGCUUUGUUCUAGCAUGGUACAUGGUAUUCUUACUCAAAUCUAAAGCACUCUGGCUAUCACAAAAUACCACAUACUCUUUCUGAUUCAACCCUAAUUCAAGAAGAAAACGUUUCAUCCAAAGCAUUUCUUUACAUGCUUCAGUUGCUGCAAUAUACUCAGCCUCUGUAGUUGACAAAGCAACACACUUCUGCAACUUAGACUGCCAAGAUACAGCUCUUCCUGCAAAAGUAAACAAAUACCCUGAAGUAGAUUUCCUACCAUCAAGAUCGCCUGCCAUGUCAGCAUCAGUAAACCCUUCUAGAACUGGUUGUGAAACUCCAUAAGUCAAGCACAUUUUUGAGGUACCCCUCAAAUAUCUAAAAAUCCAUUUCACUGCUUCCCAGUGAACCUUCCCUGGAUUAGAAAGAAAUCUGCUCACUACACCAACUGCAUGAGCAAUGUCAGGCCUUGUACAAACCAUAAGAUACAUUAAAGAACCGACUGCAGAAGAAUAAGGAAUACUAGACAUAGCUAGUUGCUCUUCCUUAGACACUGGACAAGAUUUCUUACUUAGGUGAAAAUGGUUGGCAAGUGAACUGCUAACUGAUUUAGCAUGUUGCAUGUUGAAUCUACCAAGCACUCGUUCAACAUACUUUUCCUGUGACAACCACAGCUUUCCAGCUCUCCUAUCCCGGAUAAUGUCCAUACCAAGAAUCUGCUUUGCUGGACCUAAAUCUUUCAUAUCAAAAGACUUAGACAAUUGUUCUUUCAACCUGCAAACCAUACUAGCAUCUUGUCCUACAAUCAACAUAUCAUCAACAUAUAAUAAUAGGAUAAUGAAGUUACCAUUAGAGAAUUGUUUAACAUACACACAAGAAUCCGCUGCUGUUCUUUUAUAGCUAUGACUCACCAUAAAAGAAUCAAACUUCUUGUACCACUGUCGUGGAGCUUGUUUCAAGCCAUACAAGCUUUUCUUCAAUUUGCAAACUAAGUGCUCUUUCCCUUUCACUUCAAAACCCUCAGGCUGAUUCAUAUAAAUGUUCUCCUGCAAAUCACCAUGCAAAAAUGCAGUUUUAACAUCAAGUUGCUCAAGUUCAAGAUUCAAACUAGCUGUCAAUCCCAGUACCACUCGAAUAGAACUCAUUUUUACAACUGGAGCAAAAAUCUCAUCAAAAUCGAUGCCUGGUUUUUGAGAAAAACCUUUUACUACCAAUCGAGCUUUGUACCUCACUAGUUUGUCACCAUCCUUUUUCAACUUGAACACCCAUUUAUUCUUUAAUGGCCUCUUUCCUGUUGGAAGUUUAACAAGAUCAUAAGUACCAUUCUUUCGCAAUGACUCCAUCUCUUCUUUCAUUGCUUUUAACCAGUGCUCUCUAUCCGGAGUAGCCUGCACAUCUUGAAAGCUUUCUGGCUCCCCUUCACUGGUAACUAAAAUAAAAUCUGAACUUGAAUACCUGGUAGAUGGCCUGCGCUCUCUAGUAGAUCUCCUGAGCUGAGACUCUACAUCACUUGAUGCUGAAGGUAGCUCCUCCUGCUCAACACUCUCAGGUAGAGAGGAUUGCUCCCCCUGCUCAAAACUAAUAGCAUCUGGCUCAUCACCAACUAUGGCUGGCUCAUUCAUAUCCCCAAGUUCUGUUUCUGGCUCAUUUUCACCAUCUGUGGCUCUUUCCUGUGAAAUCCCUGUCGGUGUUGAAACAUCACACUCAACAGUAACUCGUGUAGUCUUCUUAUUUUUCUCAAGGUCUGCUAUGGUUUCUUUUUCAUGAAAGACCACAUCUCUGCUUCUGACUGUCUUUCUCUUUACUGGAUCCCAUACCCUGUAGCCAAAUUCCUCAUCACCAUAUCCUACAAACACACACUGUGUAGCUUUACUAUCAAGCUUUGACCUCUGCUCUUUUGGUACAUGCAUGAAUGCUUUACACCCAAAAACUUUUAAGUGAGAGUAUGAAGCAUCUUUUCCUGUCCACACUCUUUCUGGAAUGUCAAAGCCCAAAGGAACUGAUGGUGACCUGUUAAGUAAAUAACAAGCUGUGUUGACUGCUUCACCCCAGAAUGGCUUUGGUAAUUUUGCCAUCCUCAACAUACAUCUGACUUUUUCCACAAUGGUGCGAUUCAUUCUUUCAGCUAUACCAUUAUGCUGCGGUGUUCCAGGUUCUGUCCUCUCAUGCCUGAUCCCAUGCUUUGAGCAAUACUCUUCAAAGCUUUUAGAUGUGUAUUCCCCACCAUUAUCAGUUCGAAUACACUUUAAGGGUAACCCUGUCAUCCUUUCAACCAUGGCAUGAAAUUUUUGAAAAUACUGCAGUACCUGACUUUUAUAUUUCAACAUAUACACCCAAGUUUUACGUGAAGCAUCAUCAAUAAAAGUAACAAAAUAUCUGCUACCACCUAAUGACUCAACCUCAAUGGGACCACAUACAUCAGAAUAAAUUAAUUCCAAUCUAUUUUCUUUUCUCUGAGAACUUUUACGAAAAGAAACUCUAUGAUGCUUACCAAACAAACAAUAAUCACAUGAAUCGAGAGACAUACCUUUGGUCAAGGGAAUGAGAGAGUGCCUUGCCAAAACCUGUAACCCUUUUUCACUCAUGUGUGCCAGCCUACUGUGCCACAAGUUUGCUGAAGCAUCAUUUUCAACGGUAUUUACCUGGUUACCGUUCAAUUGCAUCCAUGUCUUAUACAUUGUGCAGCAUAGUUUUCCCUUUGCAACUACCAUAGAUCCUUUGAGAAGCUUCCACUGUCCAUUCUUUUGUCGGCUUUCAUAUCCCUCCUUAUCAAGGACAUUAAUAGCAAGCAAGUUCAUUCUCAUAUCUGGAAUGUGUCUGACAUCCCUCAAAGUCAACAUGCAGCCUGUACUAGUUUGUACACCAAUAUCACCAAUCCCAACAAUCUGCGACACACUCUUGUUUCCCAUCUUGGUACAACCAAAGUCUCCUGCUUUGUAAGUUGUAAACAACUCUCUCUUAGGAACACAAUGAUAUGCCGCUCUUGUGUCAACUAUCCACUCAAUGCCGGGAUCACUAACAUGAUUACAAUCACCAUGUGUACAAAUCAAAGUAACUGAAUCACUAUCUGAAUUCACUGCUGCAACAUUGCCAUCAUCUGAACUCUUGCCUUUCUCAUUUUCGCUCUUGCUUCAAGAUUCUACAAUUUCGUUUUAUAUGACCAGCCUUACCACAAUGGAAACACUUCACUUUACCUCUAAACUUAGAUUUAUGUUUAGACUUACAAGUUGCAAUCUUUUUAACAAGCAUAACUUUAUUCAUACAUGUUUUUCUCUCAUACAAUGCUGCCAAUUUUUCCCAAACAAUGUGAGCAUCCGAUUCCUGCGCUACAUGAUGGAACACGCUGAUAUCAACCCAUUUUCUGAUUGUAGCCAGCGUCUUUCUACCUAGCUUCUUCCAGCUUUCAUCUUUCAUAUCUGCUGGUUUAGCCGAAUCACCCAAUACUGGCUCAUACAAAUCUUUGCAGUAUAGAUGAUCCUCCAUCAUAGGCUUCCAAAUUGAAUAAUUUGAUGCUGUCAAUUUUAUCAUGGAACCUGUAUCACCUUCCAUUAUCUCAAACAGAAUUUACUUUUAUCCUGGGUUGCUUCUGUAUCGAUGUCUCAAAAUAACCCUCGCUCUGAUACCACUUGUCACGGGUCGAGACUUAAGCUCCGAACCCGCGCGGCUCCGGGACCCGGGCAUUCACCCUUCCGGCGUCCCAGAUCAGCCUUCCGCCACGGUUCACACCCUUGUGAGGUAUUGUCCGCUCUGGCCCCCUUGACCUCACGGUUUUUCCUACAAAAGGCGCCUCACAAGGCAGAGAUGGUGUGAACCCUUUUAUACCCCAGGGACCUUCCUAUUAUGUUCGAUGUGGGAUUCAGGACUCCCCCUUAGGUCCGUGACAUUCUCCCGCACCCAACCUCGUGACGCCCUCGUCACGGAGGCCGGCCACCCUGCCUACCUCCCUCGAGGCGCUCGGCGUGGAUCGAACGGUUUAGGGCUGGCUCUGAUACCACUUGU